UACGUAGGUGACAAGCGUUGUCCGGAAUUAUUGGGCGUAAAGGGAGCGCAGGCGGUUGGAAUAGUCUGAUGUGAAAGCCCACGGCUUAACCGUGGAAGGUCAUUGGAAACUGUCCAACUUGAAUGCAGAAGAGGAAAGCGGAAUUCCAUGUGUAGUGGUGAAAUACGUAGAGAUAUGGAAGAACACCAGUGGCGAAGGCGGCUUUCUGGUCUGAAAUUGACGCUGAGGCUCGAAAGCGUGGGGAGCAAACAGG
rnacentral:rRNA from 1 species